rnacentral:rRNA from 1 species
UACAGAGGUCUCAAGCGUUGUUCGGAUUCACUGGGCGUAAAGGGUGCGCAGGCGGCCAAGUGUGUGAGGCGUGAAAGCCUGGAGCUUAACUCCAGAAUUGCACCUCAAACUAACAUGGCUAGAGCAUUGGAGAGGGUAGCGGAAUUCACGGUGUAGCAGUGAAAUGCGUAGAUAGUCGUGAGGAACACCAGAGGCGAAGCGGCUACCUGGACAAUGCUGACGCUCAGGCACGAAAGCGUGGGGAGCAAAAGGG